rnacentral:misc_RNA from 1 species
AACCAUAGAAACCUGCGGAGUACCUGCGGAAGGAUCAUUACAAAUCCAAACAAUGACUCGUUGAAAUGUUCUCGGCCUUGGGGUGUGGCAUCCUCUUCUGUCUCCAAAGGGUGACGGUCGUGGACAAGCCACGCCAAAGAGAAAAGAGAAGCAGGUGCGCAGAGACGAUCUCUCUCGCAUUGCGCUCCUCAAACCUCGGCAACCAAGGUUCGCACAAUGACGCUUUUCAUAUUGACAUUU